CUAUUACUCCCUCCGUUCGGAAUUACUUGUCGCGAAAAUGGAUGUAUCUAGAGCUAAAAUACGUCUAGAUACAUCCAUUUCUGCGACAAGUAAUUCCGAACGGAGGGAGUAUUUC
rnacentral:pre_miRNA from 1 species